GCCAGGGUGAGGCUACCGAUCUCAUUCUCCUGGAGCGUGUGAGUGUGUGAGUGGAGUUAGGAAGCAAGGAUGGAGAAAGAGACGUAGUGAACAAGAGCGAGAGGAAGGAAGUAUGAAUGAGAGUGUGUGUGAGAUCAGAGCUGGGAAGCUCGUGGAAGCACCGGGACACAAGCAACACUACUGUCUGCAAAGAUCAUGAGGGUGUCCGAGGGCAGUCAGAAUGGAGCUUCCUGAAUUAUGUUACACAACACCCGGUGGACCCUCUGUUUCGUGGAUCCGCUUGGAGGAAGAUGGUGAUGAAUGAUGUGUUCAGACCUCUAUGAUGG